rnacentral:rRNA from 1 species
UGGCGCAGCAGCAGCCCCGACAAAUCGACGCCGCUGAGGAGGGGCACUGAAGCGGCCCGACGCAGAGGAUGCUCGCCAGCGGCGCCUGCGUCCCGGCUUGAAGUCGAAGAUCUCCUCAGGGAGAUCCUUCUGCGUCUCCCUCCGCAGCCUUCCUCCCUCCCGCGUGCCUCUGCCGUCUGCAAGCGCUGGCAUGACCUCGUGACUGAUCCCAAGUUCCUACACUGCUUCCGCGUCCACCACCAGAAGCCGCCCCUCCUCGGCUUCUUCCACAUGCGCAUAUACGAUAUCGUCUUUACCCCUGUUCUGGACCCUCCGGACCGCAUCCCUCCUCAGCGAUUCGACCUGAGGCUGCGCGACGUUGAAAGUGGCACGCAGUUGAUAAUUGGCAUAUGGGGUGAUAUCAUCUCGGUAGAUGUUCCACAUAGGCUUGUUUUCGCUCAUAUCCCUGGGUUACUUGUUGGUAAUGCCCUUUACUGGUUGUUGGCUAUUAUAAGCGACGGCAUACUUAAGUUUGAUUUGGAUGAGCAGAGCCUAGCUGUGAUCAACGGGCCUACCAUUGCAAAUGAUGUCUACCAUGCCAGCCAUUGGAUAAUCCAACUUGAGGAUGGCGCCGUUGCCAUGGCCAUAUUGUCUUACCCUCGCUUCCAAAUGUGGCAAAUGGAUGUGAGUUGCCAUGGUGUUGUCACAUGGAUGGUGUUGAAGACCAUUGACAUGCAUGACAUUCCUGGGCUCCCUCCUCAGAUUGAAAGAAAUAAGGCAACCAUGAAAAGCAUAGUGGGAUGCGUCCAGGAUACUAAUGAAUUUCUUUUAUCUGUGGACGACAACGUCUAUAUGGUUCAACUUAAGUCAAUG